UACGUAGGGGGCAAGCGUUAUCCGGAUUUACUGGGUGUAAAGGGAGCGUAGACGGAUUAGCAAGUCUGAUGUGAAAGGCAGGAGCUCAACCCCUGGACUGCAUUGGAAACUGCCAGUCUUGAGUGCCGGAGAGGUAAGCGGAAUUCCUAGUGUAGCGGUGAAAUGCGUAGAUAUUAGGAGGAACACCAGUGGCGAAGGCGGCUUACUGGACGGCAACUGACGUUGAGGCUCGAAAGCGUGGGGAGCAAACAGG
rnacentral:rRNA from 1 species